GCACAGCCAUAAGAUCAGUUCUUGACUUCUUAAGACCCUCCUGAAGCUUGACAGACAAUCUCUGUAAGACUUGCCCUCUCUUUGCACUAGAACCAAACUACUCCAUACUUCUCCUUUCACUCCAUUUCUAUUCUUCAAGUUAACAUUCUAGAGCUUGCCCUAUCAUUGUACAAGCUCCAUCUUCUCUUCAGUUCAACACUCCCCCUCAAGCUUGACUUUAGGAGAUCCUAAGCCAAGCUUGGAACUCUGAAGAGUCUCCCUCAUUAAAAACCUUACAAGGAAAACCCAUUGGG